ensembl:snoRNA small nucleolar RNA SNORA26
UUGCCCAUCUAGGACCUGAAAUGUCCUGUAUGAUCAACACAGAGGGGUAGAGUAGUUCUCUCAUAAACCUGUAGUGAAGGCCGAAACCUCACUGCGGAUCCUGUCGGGAGAAACACAG